GAAACAGUUGCUAAGACUGGAUAGGAAAUUAAGAGGCAUCUUUUAAUUUUUAAAAGACCUUUUUCGAAAGGUAUGCUUAAAGAGGGGCUUGCGCCACAUUAGUUAGUUGGUAAGGUAAAGGCUUACCAAGACGAUGAUGUGUAGCUGGACUGAGAGGUCGAACAGCCACAUUGGGACUGAGACACGGCCCAAACUCCUACGGGAGGCAGCAGUAAGGAAUUUUUGGCAAUGGAGGAAACUCUGACCGAGCGACGCCGCGUGAACAAUGAAGUACUUCGGUAUGUAAAGUUCUUUUAUUGAAAAAGAAAAAAUAGUGGAAAAACUAUCUUGACAUUAUUCAAUGAAUAAGCCCCGGCUAAUUAUGUGCCAGCAGCCGCGGUAAUACAUAAGGGGCGAGCGUUAUCCGGAAUUAUUGGGCGUAAAGGGUGCGUAGGCGGUUUGAUAAGUCUAUAGUUUAAAUGCAGUGCUUAACGCUGUAGCGCUAUAGAAACUGUCUGACUAGAGUUAGAUAGAGGCAAGCGGAAUUCCAUGUGUAGCGGUAAAAUGCGUAAAUAUAUGGAGGAACACCAGAGGCGUAGGCGGCUUGCUGGGUCUUAACUGACGCUGAGGCACGAAAGCGUGGGGAGCAAACAGGAUUAGAUACCCUGGUAGUCCACGCCGUAAACGAUGAGUACUAAGUGUCGGGUUUCGGCUCGGUACUGAAGUUAACACAUUAAGUACUCCGCCUGAGUAGUACGUACGCAAGUAUGAAACUUAAAGGAAUUGACGGGACCCCGCACAAGCGGUGGAUCAUGUUGUUUAAUUCGAAGAUACACGAAAAACCUUACCAGGUCUUGACAUAAUUUUGCGACAUUAUAGAAAUAUAAUGAAGGUUAUCAGAAUUACAGGGUGGUGCAUGGUUGUCGUCAGCUCGUGUCGUGAGAUGUUAGGUUAAGUCCUAAAACGAGCGCAACCCUUGUCGUUAGUUGCGACCACGUAAUGGUGAGCACUUUAGCGAGACUGCCAAUGAAAAAUUGGAGGAAGGUGAGGAUUACGUCAAAUCAUCAUGCCCCUUAUGAUCUGGGCUACAAACGUGAUACAAUGGCUGUUACAAAGAGUAGCUACAACGUGAGUUUUUAGCCAAUCUCAAAAAAACAGUCUCAGUUCGGAUUGAAGUCUGCAACUCGACUUCAUGAAGUUGGAAUCGCUAGUAAUCGCGAAUCAGCAUGUCGCGGUGAAUACGUUCUCGGGGUUUGUACAC
rnacentral:rRNA from 1 species